rnacentral:sRNA from 1 species
UUUUUGCGUUAACGAUAGAAGCGGCAUCCUUUUUUGCCUAUAGCCAUAAUGCAAAAUGGCAAAAAAGAUAAAGUGGAUAGCGUGUUAAAAC